AGUGAACGCUGGCGGUAGGCCUAACACAUGCAAGUCGAACGGCAGCACAGUAAGAGCUUGCUCUUACGGGUGGCGAGUGGCGGACGGGUGAGGAAUACAUCGGAAUCUACUUUUUCGUGGGGGAUAACGUAGGGAAACUUACGCUAAUACCGCAUACGACCUACGGGUGAAAGCUGGGGAUCUUCGGACCUUGCGCGAUUGAAUGAUCCGAUGUCGGAUUAGCUAGUUGGCGGGGUAAAGGCCCACCAAGGCGACGAUCCGUAGCUGGUCUGAGAGGAUGAUCAGCCACACUGGAACUGAGACACGGUCCAGACUCCUACGGGAGGCAGCAGUGGGGAAUAUUGGACAAUGGGCGCAAGCCUGAUCCAGCCAUACCGCGUGGGUGAAGAAGGCCUUCGGGUUGUAAAGCCCUUUUGUUGGGAAAGAAAAGCAGCAGGUUAAUACCCCGCUGUUCUGACGGUACCCAAAGAAUAAGCACCGGCUAACUUCGUG
rnacentral:rRNA from 1 species